rnacentral:rRNA from 1 species
AACGAACGCUGGCGGCAUGCCUAACACAUGCAAGUCGAACGAGACCUUCGGGUCUAGUGGCGCACGUGUGCGUAACGCGUGGGAACCUGCCCUUAGGUUCGGAAUAACUCCCCGAAAGGGGUGCUAAUACCGGAUAAUGUCUUCGGGCCAAAGAUUUAUCGCCUGUUGAUGGGCCCGAGUUGGAUUAGCUAGUUGGUGGGGUAAAGGCCUACCAAGGCGACGAUCCGUAGCUGGUCUGAGAGGAUGAUCGGCCACACUGGGACUGAGAAACGGCCCAGACUCGUACCGGACGCAGCAGGGGGUAAUAGUGGACAAUGGGCGGAAGAGUGAUGCAGCAACUCUGCGGGCGGGAUGACGGCCGGCGGUUUGGAAACCGCAUGCGCCGGUGACGAAGGGGGAGUGAAGGUAAUGGGUAAAGAAGCACCGGCUAACUACGUG